AGUUACCCUAAACGCGAUAAGACGAUGGAGUUAAAAAAUAAUAAAUAAUAACACAUAUAAAUAUAAAUUAUACAUACAUAUGUGUAGCCUAUGGUAAGUACACAUGUACGCACGGAUUUAAUUAAAAAUAACAACAAAACGCCACGCCUGGUCUGUCGGUACGUUCGAUAAGUCGGUUUAUUCGGGCUCAGUUUCGCCGAGUUGUUAUUAGCGUCAGUCUACUUUCGUGCAUGCGAUAUAAUAGCCGAUAGAAUAAGUGUCUUGUAAAUUAAUUGUAAUUAUGUGGUUUCUGGUGUCUGUAUAGCUAAUGAUAAUGAAUCCGUUUUCACUGUGAUUAAUUUGUAAUUCGAAGUGGUGUACGACUUAAAAUAAUUCGUUGUAUGGGUGGUGAGUUUCGUGAUGUGGUACAGCCGCUUCAAAUGAUGACUGACUAGAGGACAUUUCCUUAAAAGGGCAUUAUAUUGUCCAGACUACUUUUUUAAGAUUAUGUCAAGUCGAAUCUCACCGAUUUCCUGAAUCACUAAGAAAAUCACUUAAGUACUAUAUGUAUAGUUGUUUACAUUUUUUCGUGGAUGUUCUUUUGAAAUACCAAUACUGUACCAAAUUUCACUGCUGUAAUAAGAUGUGGUCUAGUAAAUGGUACUUAUAAGAGCUAGCAACUCAUUGCUGGCAGGGUUUGUGCAAGAUAGUAUGGAUAAUGGUGGAGGAGCUAAACAAGCUGAUAGUUGGCACAAACAUGAACAAUUUAUGAUGGUUGAAAAACAAAAAACU